rnacentral:rRNA from 1 species
AGCGAACGUUUGCGGCGGGCUUAACACAUGCAAGUCGAACGGGCUGUUCCUUCGGGGGCAGUCAGUGGCGCACGGGUGCGUAACACGUAGGUAAUCAACCCUCUGGUUGGGGAUAACACUUCGAAAGGAGUGCUAAUACCCGGUAUGGCGCAGCGGUCUUCGGAUCGCGGCGAGAAAGACCCGCAAGGGUUGCCAGAGGACGAGCCUGCGGCCCAUCAGCUAGUUGGCGAGGUAACGGCUCACCAAGGCGAAGACGGGUAGCUGGUCUGAGAGGAUGAUCAGCCACACUGGAACUGAGACACGGUCCAGACUCCUACGGGAGGCAGCAGUGGGGAAUAUUGCGCAAUGGGCGAAAGCCUGACGCAGCCACGCCGCGUGAGCGAUGAAGGCCUUCGGUC